GCGAUGUGAUGAUAACAAAUCAUGUCUGUCAAUCCGCUGAUAUCUUGUGAUGUAUUCAUGUAUCCCGACAGGUUCUGAUCGC
rfam:Lupinus angustifolius cultivar Tanjil contig_18124, whole genome shotgun sequence.